rnacentral:rRNA from 1 species
AUUGAACGCUGGCGGCAGGCCUAACACAUGCAAGUCGAGCGAGCGGCGGACGGGUGAGUAAUUUCUGGGAAACUGCCUGAUGGAGGGGGAUAACUACUUGAAACGGUAGCUCAUACCGCAUACCAUCAUAUUUGCCCAGAUGGGAUUAGCUAGUAGGUGGGGUAAUGGCUCACCUAGGCGACGAUCCCUAGCUGGUCUGAGAGGAUGACCAGCCACACUGGAACUGAGACACGGUCCAGAGUCCGACGGGAGGCAGCAGUGGGGAAUAUUGCACAAUGGGCGAAAGCCUGAUGCAGCCAUGCCGCGUGUGUGAAGAAGGCCUUCGGGUUGUAAAGCACUUGCAGCGGGGAGGCGUUACCCGCAGAAUAAGCACCGGCUAACUCCGUGCCAGCAGCCGCGGUAAUAC